GCCAGGCAUGGUGGUGCAUGCCUGUAAUCUCAGCAGCUUGGGAGGCUGAGGCAGGAGGAUCCAGAGUUCAAAGCCAGCCUUAGCAACUGUAAGUCACUAAGCUACUCAAUGAGACCCUGACUCUA
rnacentral:sRNA from 1 species